rnacentral:rRNA from 1 species
UACGUAGGGAGCAAGCGUUGUCCGGAAUCAUUGGGCGUAAAGCGUGCGUAGGUGGCUUCGUAAGUCCGUUGUGAAAGUCAAAGGCUCAACCUUUGAAUGCCGAUGGAUACUGCGGAGCUAGAGUACGGAAGAGGCGAGUGGAAUUCCUGGUGUAGCGGUGGAAUGCGCAGAUAUCAGGAGGAACACCAAUAGCGAAGGCAGCUCGCUGGGACGUUACUGACACUAAGGCGCGAAAGCGUGGGGAGCGAACAGG